rnacentral:rRNA from 1 species
GACGAGUCUCACGAACGUUAUUCGGAAUUACUGGGCUUAAAGGGUGCGUAGGCGGUGAAGUAAGUCGGAUGUGAAAUACCAUAGCUUAACUAUGGAACUGCACUCGAUACUACUUUGCUUGAGUAAGACAGAGGUGAGUGGAACUGAGGGUGGAGCGGUGAAAUGCGUUGAUAUCCUCAGGAACACCGGUGGCGAAGGCGACUCACUGGGUCUUUACUGACGCUGAUGCACGAAAGCUAGGGUAGCAAACGGG